rnacentral:rRNA from 1 species
UACGAAGGGGGCUAGCGUUGUUCGGAAUCACUGGGCGUAAAGGGCGCGUAGGCGGCCGAUCAAGUCGGGGGUGAAAGCCUGUGGCUCAACCACAGAAUUGCCUUCGAUACUGUUUGGCUUGAGACCGGAAGAGGUUAGUGGAACUGCGAGUGUAGAGGUGAAAUUCGUAGAUAUUCGCAAGAACACCAGUGGCGAAGGCGGCUGACUGGUCCGGUUCUGACGCUGAGGCGCGAAAGCGUGGGGAGCAAACAGGAUUAGAUACC